GAGUUUGAUCAUGGCUCAGCCUGAACGCUGGCGGCGUGGCUAAGACAUGCAAGUCGUACGGUGUAGCAAUACACAGUGGCGGACGGGUGAGUAAUGAAUCGCUAACGUACCCUCCUGUCUGGGAUAGCCAGCCGAAAGGCUGGGUAAUACCAGAUGAGACCACGGUGGGGCAUCCCACAGUGCUCAAAGGGCAACCGCGGGAGGAGCGGGCGAUUUCGUAUCAGCUAGUUGGUGAGGUAACGGCUCACCAAGGCGACGACGCGUAGCCGGGCUGAGAGGUCGGCCGGCCACAUUGGGACUGAGACACUGCCCAGACUCCUACGGGGGGCUGCAGUAACGAAUCUUCCGCAAUGCACGAAAGUGUGACGGAGCGACGCCGCGUGCAGGAUGAAGU
rnacentral:rRNA from 1 species